UGAGAAAUAUUUAGCAUCUUUGUCCUACUUUGACUAAUUUCUCCUACCUCCACGUUUUUUGGGAAAAUAAUCAGUGAGCAGACUGUUUGGCUAGCAUUGCAAGCUUAAUGUGUGUCUCAACAUACAUGUGAUGGUGCACUAGUCUUGCCAGAAAAUGCGAUAUGUUAUAGCUGGUUCACUGUUAGGUUUAGAUGUCGUGGCAACAAUUAAUAAAAGAAGCUAUGAGGCAAUUAUGUUUGUUCUUUCAUGCAGGAUUAAAGAAGAUAUAUUUUCAACUAAAAGAAUGUAAAGAAAGGGGAAGAGGUUUGGUUUAUACAAAGGUUCGAUUAAGGCUAGGCUACCCCAAACCUGUACAUAUCCACACUGUAAUUAAUUUGGAACUUGAUUUAUCCAAAACGUGUUUGCUUGGGUGAGAUUUGGAUUAAGAAAAUCUUACGUUAUGCUGGCUUGAAGCCAUGAAGGCUUAUGCAACCAAAACCCAAACGGAGCCAACAAUCCCGUACAUAAUCCGUUUUUACUGCUUGCAACCCAACCUUGUUAAACCUAACAACCUAGACAUCAUCUGAGAUAUCUAUCUUGGUGCCUC
rnacentral:lncRNA from 1 species